UGGGGAAUCUCGCGCAAUGGGCGAAAGCCUGACGCAGCCAUGCCGCGUGAAUGAUGCCGGUCUUCGGAUUGUCCACUUCUUUCCCCGGGGACGAUAAUGACGGUACCCGGAGCAGCAGCCCCGGCUCCCUUCGUGCCCGCAGCCGCGGUCAUCCGCCGGGGGCUAGCGUUGCUCGGAAUUACUGGGCGUCAAGGGAGCGUAGGCGGCCAUUUAAGUCAGGGGUGAAAUCCCGGGGCUCAACCUCGGAAUUGCCUUUGAUACUGGGUGUCUUGAGUGUGAGAGAGGUAUGUGGAACUCCGAGUGUAGAGGUGAAAUUCGUAGAUAUUCGGAAGAACACCAGUGGCGAAGGCGACAUACUGGCUCAUUACGGACGCUGAGGCUCGAAAGCGUGGGGAGCAAACA
rnacentral:rRNA from 1 species